UACGAAGGGGGCUAGCGUUGCUCGGAAUCACUGGGCGUAAAGGGUGCGUAGGUGGGCUUGUAAGUCAGUGGUGAAAUCUCCGUGCUUAACAUGGAAACUGCCAUUGAUACUAUGGGUCUUGAAUUAUCUGGAGGUUAGCGGAAUAUGUCAUGUAGCGGUGAAAUGCUUAGAUAUGACAUAGAACACCAAUUGCGAAGGCAGCUGGCUACAGGUACAUUGACACUGAGGCACGAAAGCGUGGGGAUCAAACAGG
rnacentral:rRNA from 1 species